UCAUAUGUUAUUCAAAGAGUAUGCCACGCAUGUGUUAGUACUCAGUACAGUACACUGAAACCGCGGAUGGCUCAUUAUAACAGUCAUGAUUUAAGAGAAUUUAUCUUUUUGCCACAAGAUAACUGUGGUAAUUCUAGAGCUAAUAUUUAACAGAAUGCCGUGACUCACGAAGCGGCGGAUUUAUUAGAUCAAAACCAACCUAGCGCAAGCUGGUUAUUUUGAUGACUCUGGAUAACUUUACGGAUCGUACAGCUUAAUGUUGACGACAAAUCUCUUGAAAUGACUGACCUAUCAACUUUAGAUGGUAAGAUCAAAGCUUACCAUGGUUGUAACGGGUAACGGGGAAUCAGUGUUCGAUUCCGGAGAGGGAGCCUGAGAAACGGCUACCACAUCCACGGAAGGCAGCAGGCGCGAAAAUUACCCAAUACCGGUUCGGUGAGGUAGUGACAAUAAAUAACAAUAUGGGCCAUUUAUGGUCUCAUAAUUGCAAUGAGAAUAUUUUAAAUACUUUAUCAAGUAUCAAUUGGAGGGCAAGUCUGGUGCCAGCAGCCGCGGUAAUUCCAGCUCCAAAAGCGUAUAUUAAUGUUGUUGCAGUUAAAAAGCUCGUAGUUGAAAUUGGGGAGUGAUUCAUUAAGAAAAUCUAUGAUUGAUUUUUGGAUCUUCCUUCAGUGUCGUGAAUAUUGUCAAGUCACUUUAUUGAGAUUUGUCAAUAACCGACGAGUUUACUUUGAAAAAAUUAGAGUGCUUAAAGCAGGCUUAUGCUUGUAUAUUGUUGCAUGGAAUAAUGAAAUAAGACUUUGGUUUUAUUUUGUUGGUUUUCGAAACUAAAGUAAUGAUUAAAAGAGACUGCCGGGGGCAUAUGUAUGCUGGCGCUAAAGGUGAAAUUCUAAAACCGCCCUCUGACAGUCUACUGCAAAAGCAUUUGCUGGGAAUGUUUUCAUUAAUCAAGAACGAAAGUCAAAGGAUCGAAAACGAUCAGAUACCGUCCUAGUUCUGACCAUAAACUAUGCCAACUGACAGUUAGUAACGGUAUUUUUAAUAUCUCUCUAGAAGUCACCGGGAAACCAAAGUCUUUGGGUUCCGGGGGGGUUCCGGGGGAAGUAUGGUUGCAAAGCUGAAACUUAAAGGAAUUGACGGAAGGGCACCACCAGGAGUGGAGCCUGCGGCUUAAUUUGACUCAACACGGGAAAUCUCACCCGGUCCGGACACUGUGAGGAUUGACAGAUUGAUAGCUCUUUCUUGAUUCGGUGGGUGGUGGUGCAUGGCCGUUCUUAGUUGGUGGAGCGAUUUGUCAGGUUAAUUCCGAUAACGAACGAGACUCUGACUUGCUAACUAGUGGAUAUAUUUUAACUCGUAAAUUAUCACCUUCUUAGAAGAAUAAAUAGCGUUUUAGCUAAAUUGAAAAAGAGCAAUAACAGGUCUGUGAUGCCCUAAGAUGUCCGGGGCCGCACGCGCGCUACAACGGCAGUUUCAGCGAGUAUUCCUAACUAGAAAUGGUCGGGUAAUCUUGUGAACAACUGUCGUAUCUGGGAUUGUGAAUUGCAAUUAUUUCACAUGAACGAGGAAUUCCUAGUAAGCGCAAGUCACUAGCUUGCGCUGAUUAUGUCCCUGCCCUUUGUACACACCGCCCGUCGCUACUACCGAUUGAAUGGUUUAGUGAGAUCGUUGGAUUCUGAUCUAAGAAAUGGCAACAUUUCUAUGAAGAUUGGGAAAGUGACACAUCAAACCGCAGAAGAGAUGAGAGUGAUGGUGACAACUUAGCAC
rnacentral:rRNA from 1 species